rnacentral:lncRNA from 1 species
CUGAGACAACCCUAUUUCUGGGAGUCCUCCCAAACCCCUUGAAGUCACAGGCGUCUCUGAUGUCCCUGUCCUUCAUCCACAUCACUGAACAAUUAAGUGCACACAUCUCUGUACUUUUAUUUAAACCAUUCCAUAUGUGUUUACAAUUAACGACUUCAUGAAUGACUGCGGUAUGGAUGGAGCAGAAAAGAAUGCUGAGGGAGAACUCCGGUUAGAAGGAGCCGCUCUUCCAGGACUAGGAAUGAACUUUCCCCAGUACCAACCAGACAGCCUCCAGGGCAAGAAAAGGUGCCCACAGGAGAGCACCUGAGUUCUGAGACAGCUCUACGGCUCCCAGCCUUCAUCCCCGUGAGUAGUAACACAGGGACACGCAGAGGGGCAUGCUGACUGCCUAUAGGGCACCCAUGGAACAUGGAUGCACCCUGCGGAUCCUGAAACCGGUCAGGUAACGAGGAGCAGAGGUGUGGGGAAGACCUGGAGGGAGGCCUUACUGGGUGCCGACCAGCCUGACCAGCCGGGGCCACAGACCAGAAGUGCUUCUGACAUUAACCGGACACAGGGAAGGGUGCCUCUGACAUCUGCACAGCACACACAACCAAGUUUAGGAGCCCACUGUUAAGAUGCCCAAGUGACAUUGACAAGUUUCGCUGGGAACCAAUGAGGUCUGCUGACCACAAGAGCUUUGCGGUACUGCUGAAGGAUUCUGGAAAAUGUGG